rnacentral:tRNA from 1 species
GCCGGGGUAGUCUAGUCUGGUAAGGCGCAGUAAAUAACGCGUACGCCUGGAACUUCAUCCAGCCAGCCUGUGACCCUUCGGGGUCUCGUGGGUUCAAAUCCCACUCCCGGCG